rnacentral:rRNA from 1 species
UACGUAGGGUGCGAGCGUUGUCCGGAAUUAUUGGGCGUAAAGAGCUCGUAGGCGGUUUGUCACGUCUGCUGUGAAAUCCCGAGGCUCAACCUCGGGCCUGCAGUGGGUACGGGCAGACUGGAGUGCGGUAGGGGAGAAUGGAAUUCCUGGUGUAGCGGUGGAAUGCGCAGAUAUCAGGAGGAACACCGAUGGCGAAGGCAGUUCUCUGGGCCUGUACUGACGCUGAGGAGCGAAAGCGUGGGGAGCGAACAGG